rnacentral:rRNA from 1 species
GAUGAACGCUGGCGGCGUGCCUAAUACAUGCAAGUCGAGCGAACGGACGAGAAGCUUGCUUUUCUGAUGUUAGCGGCGGACGGGUGAGUAACACGUGGAUAACCUACCUAUAAGACUGGGAUAACUUCGGGAAACCGGAGCUAAUACCGGAUAAUAUUUUGAACCGCAUGGUUCAAAAGUGAAAGACGGUCUUGCUGUCACUUAUAGAUGGAUCCGCGCUGCAUUAGCUAGUUGGUAAGGUAACGGCUUACCAAGGCAACGAUGCAUAGCCGACCUGAGAGGGUGAUCGGCCACACUGGAACUGAGACACGGUCCAGACUCCUACGGGAGGCAGCAGUAGGGAAUCUUCCGCAAUGGGCGAAAGCCUGACGGAGCAACGCCGCGUGAGUGAUGAAGGUCUUCGGAUCGUAAAACUCUGUUAUUAGGGAAGAACAUAUGUGUAAGUAACUGUGCACAUCUUGAUGGUACCUAAUCAGAAAGCCACGGCUAACUACGUG